AUUAAACUUCACAUAAUCAAAGCAAGAAUUUAUAAAAGGAGAGAAAUCUAUAUGUUCAGACCAAAGGAAGUAAAUAGAUGAGUAUUAACCAUUAUUGACCAUUCUAAAGCCAAUCCAAGCAAGAAGAUCAACAGCUCUAGAACCAUAUUUUUCAACGGUACUAGGAGAGAGAAAGAGUUACAUGGAAGGGGGAAAUGGAGGAGAGAGAGGACAUGGGACAAGAGGGAGGGUUACUUCUGGGAAACUGGGGGCAGGGGGAAUUGGAAGAUUUAUGGGAUGUAUGCAUAUGUGGGAACAGUCAGAUAAAUUUCAAGCGAUUCUUCUAUUAAAUUCGCUGGGCUUGGGAAGGGGAAAAUGGACCAGGAAGCUUUUGGAUCUGUUCAGGGCAAAUGGGCUUGAAUGAACAAUUCACUUCACUGGGGGAUACUUUUGGUUCCUGACUGGACUUGUUCUUUUAAUUGAGAUGUAUUUUGUGGAUUAAAAAUCUUUUUCUUCUUGUUUUUAUUUGGAUCAAUUUCUCAUUAUCUAAUUACACUGAAAUGAGUAUUUGUUUAAAUAAAAAAAUAAUUUAUUUUUAUACUAUUUUGAUCAACAUGUCACUGCAUUUCUGCCCCUAAUUUUUUUAAAAUUCACAUGUCAGAGUAUCAUCUGUGAACAUGUACAUGCUUCCUAGACAACAAAUAUUCUGAAACCUAUUGAUAAUGAGCAGGCCAAACACCACCCACAAAAGAAAAGGGAAAGCGGAAAUCCAUAAACCCACUCACAAAUCUUCAACCAGGCCAGACUCCUGUGUCUAAGCACCUCUGCAAAGCACAAAAACAGAUUUAAGCACUGCUAUAAUAAGGCAAUGGAAAUCUCAGUAUGCUGUCCAAGCUUGGUUUGGUAAGACACUAUUGCAAUUUGCAAGCUGGUCUAGCUCAAUCUUGAACCAAGCUAAUAAUUCUUUAGUAGCUUAAGCUCAAGCACACCUUUUAACUUGCUCGGCUAGACAAUGGGCUAUUCAGCUCAGCUAAUCACAUCCUUUUGAUAUGCUGUUUCAUAGAAGCUUUGAAGAUAGAACAAACACAUUCUCAAUUUGAUGAACCUUCCUUAGUUCCUAUCUAAAGCUCAUAUAAAGCAGUAUAAACUUGUGUGAUUUAAGGCAUAAUUAACUGAGCAGAAAAGUGUCGAUUCAGAGUGGUUCAAGCCUUGCUCCCUUAGGCAA
rnacentral:lncRNA from 1 species